rnacentral:rRNA from 1 species
CGCUGGCGGCGUGCCUAACACAUGCAAGUCGAACGAGAAAGGGGGCUUCGGUCCCUGAGUACAGUGGCGCACGGGUGAGUAACACGUGGGUAAUCUACCCGGAGAUUCGGGACAACAUCUCGAAAGGGGUGCUAAUACCGGAUAAGCCUACGACGUCUUCGGACGACGCAGGAAAAGGUGGGGAUUCUUCGGAACCUACCGUCCCCGGAUGAGCCCGCGGCCCAUUAGCUAGUUGGCGGGGUAAUGGCCCACCAAGGCGACGAUGGGUAGCUGGUCUGAGAGGAUGAUCAGCCACACUGGAACUGAAACACGGUCCAGACUCCUACGGGAGGCAACAGUGAGGAAUAUUGCGCAAUGGGGGCAACCCUGACGCAGCAACGCCGCGUGAGUGAGGAAGGUUUUCGGAUUGUAAAGCUCUGUCGAGCGGAAAGAAAUAUAUGGUGGCUAAUAUCCACCAUGUUUGACGGUACCGCUAGAGGAAGCACCGGCUAACUCCGUGCCAGCAGCCGCGGUAAUACGGGGGGUGCAAGCGUUGUUCGGAAUCAUUGGGCGUAAAGAGCGUGUAGGCGGCUGGACAAGUCAGAUGUGAAAGCCCUGGGCUUAACCCAGGAAGUGCAUUUGAAACUGUCUUGCUUGAGUAAGGGAGAGGAAAGUGGAAUUCCUGGUGUAGAGGUGAAAUUCGUAGAUAUCAGGAGGAACACCGGUGGCGAARGCGGCUUUCUGGCUCUAUACUGACGCUGAGACGCGAAAGCGUGGGGAGCAACAGGAUUAGAUACCCUGGUAGUCACGCGUAACGAUGUUCACU